UGAGGAAUAUUGGGCAAUGGGCGCAACCCUGAUCCAGCCAUGCCGCGUGUGUGAAGAAGGCCUUCGGGUUGUAAAGCACUUUAAGUGGGGAGAAAGGCUCGUUGGUUAAUAACCAACGGGAUUGAUGCUACCCACAGAAUAAGCACCGGCUAACUCUGUG
rnacentral:rRNA from 1 species